rnacentral:rRNA from 1 species
UACGUAGGGGGCAAGCGUUGUCCGGAAUCAUUGGGCGUAAAGAGCGUGUAGGCGGCUUGGUAAGUCCGCUGUGAAAGUCCAGGGCUCAACCCUGGAAUGCCGGUGGAAACUGUCGAGCUAGAGUCCGGAAGAGGCGAGUGGAAUUCCUGGUGUAACGGUGAAAUGCGCAGAUAUCAGGAGGAACACCAAUGGCGAAGGCAGCUCGCUGGGACGGUACUGACGCUGAGACGCGAAAGCGUGGGGAGCAAACAGG